rnacentral:rRNA from 1 species
AAUGAACGCUGGCGGCGUGCCUAAUACAUGCAAGUCGAGCGAACAGACGAUAAGCUUGCUUCUCUGAUGUUAGCGGCGGACGGGUGAGUAACACGUGGAUAACCUACCUAUAAGACUGGGAUAACUUCGUGAAACCGGAGCUAAUACCGGAUGAUAUUUUGAACCGCAUGGUUCAAAAGUGCAAGGCGGUCUUGCUGUCACUUAUAGAUUGAUCCGCGCUGCAUUAGCUAGUUGGUAAGGUAACGGCUUACCAAGGCAACGAUGCCUAGCCGACCUGAGAGGGUGAUCAGCCACACUGGAACUGAGACACGGUCCAGACUCCUACGGGAGGCAGCAGUAGGGAAUCUUCCGCAAUGGGCGAAAGCCUGACGGAGCAACGCCGCGUGAGUGAUGAAGGUCUUCGGAUCGUAAAACUCUGUUAUUAGGGAAGAACAUAUGUGUAAGUAACUGUGCACAUCUUGACGGUACCUAAUCAGAAAGCCACGGCUAACUACGUG